GACGAACGCUGGCGGCGUGCUUAACACAUGCAAGUCGAACGGUGAAGCGCCUUCCUUUUUGGUGGGUGUGGAUGAGUGGCGAACGGGUGAGUAACACGUGAGUAACCUGCCCCCUUCUUCUGGAUAACCGCAUGAAAGUGUGGCUAAUACGGGAUAUUCUGGGUCUGUCGCAUGAUGGGUCUGGGACAGAUAUUGUUUCGGUGGGGGAUGGGCUCGCGGCCUUUCAGCUUGUUGGUGGGGUGAUGGCCUACCAAGGCGGUGACGGGUAGCCGGCCUGGGAGGGUGGACGGUCUCACUGGGACUGCGACACGGCUCAGACUCCGACGGGGGGCAGCAGUGGGGAAUAGUGCACAAUGGGCGAAAGCGUGAUGCAGCGACGCCGCGUGAGGGAUGGAGGCCUGCGGGUUGUGAACCUCUUUCGCCAGUGAAGCAGGCCUGCCUCGUUUGUGGGUGGGUUGACGGUAGCUGGAUAAGAAGCGCCGGCUAACUACGUG
rnacentral:rRNA from 1 species